rnacentral:lncRNA from 1 species
AUUCACCAGAUGGAAAAAUAAGUUCUCUGGGUAACCACAUCGAGGCAUAGAGACCCACUACACUGGGAUGGUCCGAAGAAUAAACGAUGCACACAGCCAACCCUCCUAUAUAAUCAAAACUUGGCGGCACUUCAAAUUUGACAUUUUCUUCCUCUCUCACGACAUAGGUUAACGAUUAAGGAAUAACAUUUCAAGAGCGACAAAUUUCACCAAAUACAUCCCCCACCUUCCAUUUCUACAACACGGCGUGCAAAGUUUGUAUAAGCAAACAAUACGAGAAGGGCAGAGCGAGAGAGAGAGAGAGAGAGAGAGAGAGAGAGAGAGAGAGAGAGAGAGAGAGUAUCAUGCAACAAAACAUAAAAACUCAUCUGGGAGAAUUAUGACUCUUGUGAAUUGGUAGUAUUAUCGAUGCAUAUGUUAUAUGAUCUUCAAACUCGCUAUAGCGUGACUUUUUUUUUUUGUAUCUUUUUCAUCAACUUCAUUUGUUUUUUUUUUUUUUCAAGUAGAGCUGAUAAACUUAAAAUUUAUCCACAACCUAAAAAAUGGAAGAAAAAAAAAGAGGUGGAUGUACAAAAUCCUUGCUAUGCCCUCUAUAUUCAACAGAACAAUAAAUUGAGUUAACGGAUAUAAUUGAAGUACCAUAUUUGAUUGUGUUUGAGAACCAUAAUAAGGAAAAAAAAAAACUACUCUAGAAUGAAGGUAAAACUCGUGACAACAAUGGUGUACAUCUAAAAAAUAGUUCAAGCAGAUUAAGAUGUUAGCGCAUAGACAAAUAUCUCGUUUAUUGAACAAACGAUGAGGAUAACAAUGCCGUUUUCUCUCUUUCGAAAUUCAUAAACAACAAAAUUGAGAUUUGUUACACAAAAAUUACCAUAAAUUUUGACAGAAUUGGCGGUUGAAAUAUAAGUCCAGCAUCCAAAUCGAAAACAAUCAUAGGAGCUUAGAAAAUACCACAUCAACCUUUAGCAAGUAGUCUCAUAAGAAAUCCCAAUCAAGAUAAAACCAUUCAACAGUUUAUUAGACUUCUCCUUUCAUAUAAGAGCAUGGUUCGGAGGAUAAUUUAAUUGACCUCAUAACAUCUUUCUACAAAGAAAAAAUGAAAAAGAAAAUAGGGCCUCGACACCUGUGGCAAAACCCGACAUGGAUUAGAGUACUUUUCUGCCUAACCUUCUAUAAAAGCAAUAGGCCACAACUACUAUUGCCACUGCUCCAAUCAAGCUUGACAGCUUCCGUAAGGCAUCCUUCCUGGCACACGACUCCCUGGUUUCUUUCGGCUUUUUUUCCUCACUUCCACCGUUCUCCUCCAAACUUACUUCUUCGCAACAUGUAAAUCCAUCACUAUUAGCACCCUGGCAACAACCUGAAAAGUUCUCAUUAUUCUCAAUUUGAUUGCCCUUUUCUUGGUGAAUCUGAUUGCCAUUUUCUUGUGGCUUCUCCUCAAUUUUCUUAUUUUCUUCUCCAUUUGGAAGCUCCCGGUCAUUGAUUUCUUCAGCUUCAUCAGAAGAUGCUCCCAUUUGGCCCCUGUAACAAAUGAAAUUGAAUUUCGUGUUCAACUAUUUAAAGAUUCAACUCUAAGUUUCGUCAAUAUCAAUUGAGUAAGAACAUGUAUGAUCAAGCUUAAUAAACAAAUCACAACCACAUUACAAAUAAAAACAUAUACAGGGUAAUGCAGUUAUAUCCAAUUCUUUUGUGCUUUCUCCACAAAAGUUCCUCCAUGUUAAUGUAACUCUAUAUCAAUUAAUCUAUCAUACAAGACUAGACAUAAUCAGCAAUUGAAAACUACGACAACACAAGCUUCCGUCCAGUGAAAAUUUCAUCCAAAGAUAGGCAAAACCAAAAACGUACAAACCUCCACAGUCGUUUUAUAAUCUUUCCCUUCCCAAUAUGCUCAUCAAGCAAUUCCGGCACAUCAUCAGGAGUGACGUCGCCAUACCUGCAAUUAAUAAUACAUUUUAUUCAAAUUCCAUUGAUCCCAAUACAACAAAAUUUUAAAUUGUUAUGAUCCGAAUAUUACCAAUGGCCUGUUAUGCUUCCAUCUGAACCUGAGCUAUAGAUAAUCAUGUUUCCAUUGUGGCCUCCAGUGUGAAAGCAAGCAGCAACAAAUACCUGAUUCGUCAAUCCUCGCAGCUCAACCUCCUCUUUGAACUUAUAAAUGAGAACACGUGCACUAUCAUGAUUCCAUUCCUCUCGACUACCUUGUGCACAUACAAAUACAUGGGAGCCAGUCAACGGCUCUUGCACUCUGGAAGCCCAUGGCUUGUCAUUCACAAGGACAUCAUCAACAAAGUUGUCCACAUCCGACUCUUUCAAACCCCUUUGAUCAAGAAACAAAAACAAUCCCAAAAUCACAAAAAGGAAUUUACAGGAAACAAUAACCUAACACUCUUUAAUUCCUUAUAAGGCAAGGAAUUAGUCUUAAAUUGAGUCAUUAAAUUAAAUUUCUAGUACUAAUUUCAGAAGAUAACACAUAUCUAAUUAUCUACUUAGUUCAUGACAUUUAGCACAAUUUCGUAAUCAAAAGAGAAGUCGAAACAGAAAUUACUUCAGUCAAAACUAGGAAAAUAAAUUGCACUGCUCAUCUUGGUUAUGGAAUGGGCCCUUGAUUAUGAAUUAAUUACGGUUUGCCAUUGUGUGCGCUAGUGUGGGCCGUGCUUAACAACUGGGUUGGGCUGCUGCAUUUGGGCACAGGGUGCAGCUCUCAAGCGUUUUGGGCUGGGUUUCACCGAAAGAUCCAAUAACUAUUUUGCCCCCUUCAGUCCUAAUCCAACGGCCACCAUUUUGGGCGUUUGUGUUCUGCAAUUCAGUGGUUGGGGGUUGGGGGUUGUGGUGGGGGGGGGGCGUCAGGAUCUCUUCAAGGAGAUCGUGCAGAGAGGCAGCGAGAUGUUUCGGUUCUGUCUUCUUCGACUCUUAUAUCGUCCCUUUUUUCUGAAUUUUCUUUAUUUCUUAUCCUUUAAACUUUGUAUUUUUUUUUUUGGUGAUGCAGAUAGAUGAACAUGUUCAAAGGGAAAUCAUGAACCACAGAUCACUGCAUCCGAAUGGACCGAAUAUCGUUUGAUUCGAAGAGGUCAGUGAUCAUAAACUAUUUUAUAAACUAUUUUCAUUUUGUUUUUUAAGAAUGAAUUCGGCAAGUUCUGUUUGAAUUUUGUAUAAGUAUCUGCUGAUGGUGGGUGGAUGAAGACAGAACAUGCUAAAUUUGGCCUUUGGUGUGCUCAAACUGGUACGGGGGAUGGUUAAAACUUUGAGCCUGGGAUGCAGUAGGACUAACAGAAAUCCACCACUUGCAGAAUUGUUGUCAAAAUAACUCUGCUAAAAAUAUGAGCUAUACUUCUUGCACUUUGUUUUUACUGUGAAGUGGAAAUAGUCUUUAGAGUGGCUUAUUUGUGAUAAUUGAUAAAGAGGUUUGUGUUUAAGACUUGAGAGUAGUGCGGUGUCUUUCUCGCUGGUUCUGCUCACACCACCUCAUCUAGCCAUUGUGAUGGAGUACACGGCUGGGUGAGAACUCUUCGAGAGAGUAUGCAGUGCUGGCAGAUUUAGUGAGGAUGAGAUAAAGUAGUUUCAAAUGCACAGAAAAUUUCAUUGGAAUUGAUUUUAGUGUAGAGUCUCAAAUAUGGGAUCUCUAAAUGUCCCCUGAAAUGGAAUCCAUCUCGAUUUUUGCUUAGUUUCAGAUAGGGAAGGUUAUGUCUGAAGCAUUUUUACAUAAACAAUCAGUCAUAAUAUAACAAAAACGAACUUACUUUUUCGAUAUAAUUGUUGUUUUGCAUCAGGCAAGGUUUUUUCCUCCAGCAAUUGAUAUCAGGAAUUAGUUGCUGGCUUUUGAUGGUAUGUAAUGUGGCACUUUUCUGCUAAUCGUAUACUGUUAUUUCUCUUUUGAUAUUGGAAGUGUUGGUUGUAGUAAGGAAAUAAUUCGUUUCAAUAGUUUACGACUUAGUUUUAAUAGUAUAUGACUCAGUUUUUGAAUAGCACUCGGGUGGUUUUUGAAUAACAGUAUUACGACUUAGUUUUCUAAAUGCCAAUAACAGCUCUAGAUUUUGUCUCAAGUGGAGUAUUCUUACUAAUGUAGCAUUUUGUUGGCGCAUCAGUAUGUUUUGAUUGUUUCUCUGCUUGAACAGAGAAUUGUUAACGUCCAGGUGGGAACGUGGGUUGGCUCAUGUUUUAAUCUCUCCGUUGUAAGCAAUUUUACAUGGUAUUCUUCAAUGUAGCUAUAGGUAAGACAACAGUCUCAGUAUUCCAUAAUCUAACCACCAUUUGAACUUUUUUCAUCCACCAAGCUAAGCUUUUAUGUGCCAUCUUGAAUGGUUAUUAUAAGUUAUUGCUUCAGAUUACUCCAGUGCGACAUUAUUGUUCUCUUCCUUACCUCUCAAGCUUGCUUAAUGUCCUUAUUCUUAUUACUGUUGUAUUGUUAAGAAAUACUCAAAUGCGGUUUCAGUUCAUCAUUAUGAAUCAGAUUAAAAUUAACCACUCACUGGUUAAUUAUCUAAAUCCUAUAAAUUCAGAUUAAAAUUAAAGCAACUACAGAACAAAAACCUCAAGAAAUCAACACGAAUUUACCUGUAUUUGAUCAUUUGUGGGAAAAUCAACACAUCGCCAUUGGAAAACUCAGUUCCUUCGCGUCCUUCAAUUACUGUCAGCAACGUCUAUCAAAAACCAAGAAAAAAGUGAGUAACGGAGUCAAUUCAGCUCAACACCAUAACUUAGUAGCUCCAGGAACUAAGACACGGUAAGAAAAAAUAAUCGGAAAUGCUGACGAAUUGAGCUGGAAAAGGGACCUUAACGGUGAUGUCGUUCUUGCGAGCUUUGAGAGCGGAUGCAAAGAACUUAGGGAGUGGAUCGGACUCAGAGCCUUUGAUGCGCCAUGGCCAAGCCUCGGGGGUCUUGUAGCAGAGGAAAACUUGGCGAUUGCUCAACUGCGUAUCGUCCUUAGUGUCUUCAUCAGACUCAUAUGACAUAGUCUCAUAGUCGUACCAAUUAGUACGACCAUCAGACAAAUCCCAUUUUACAAUAUCCACUCCUGUUUUGUUCACCUUAAUAAUUGUAUUAUCUAGUCCAGAAAAUUCUGCUUUUACAAGAACCAUGUCACCGCUUUUCAGAUUGAGCUUCUUGUUUGAAAGAUUUCCCAACCAAAGAUAAUAUUCAUGGGAAGCAGUUACGGUGGCCUUCAUUGCCCAGACGCGAAAGUUAGUUCGCUGGGUACGAUUAACAACACCAAUGGUUAGAAUCCCAGUACAGUCAGAGUUGUCCGAAGAAUAAACGAUGCCCAAAGCCAACCCUCCUAUAUAAUCAAUACUUGGCGGCACUUCGAAUUUGACAGUUUCAUCCUCUCUUGCGACAUAGGCUAACCAGUUAGGAAUAUCAUUUCCAAAGAGAAAAAUUCCACCAAAUGCAUUUUUCUACACCAUGGGGUGCAAAGUUAGUAUAAGCAACAAUACGAGAGAGAGAGAGAGAGAGAGAGAGAGAAAGAGAGAGAGAGUACCGUUUUGGAGGUUCUCCUUAAAAGUAUCAGUGAGACUGGUACACCCUUCCAUGUGAAUUGAUUCCAUGUAGUCCAAUGAGUUCUCCAAGUUUGGAAUAUCUUUGAGUUUGCGGCAGUCUUUCAGUUCCAAUUUCCUCAUUUUCGACAUCUCUGAAAAGUCGGACGUUAUUUCCAGUGCAGUGCAGUAAUUCGCUUCCAGUAGAAGCAAACUGUUCGGCAAAUCUGGGAUUGCCUCAAGGUUUGUGCAAUGAUUUAGAUGUAAUUCCUGAAGCUGAGAAAGGCCAUUGAGAUUGGGCAGCCUAUUAAAACCAUUCCCAUAUAGAACUAAAUAUUUUAAAGAAGAUAGACUCCCAAUUAUUUCGAGAAGGGCACCAUCUGUUAUAUUGCAGUCGCUGAGACCUAAUGCCUCAAUCAUCUUCAGUUGUAGUAAAAAAUGGUAACCCCUACACAAACCCUUACAGCCACUGAGGUUCAAUUCCUCGAGAUGUGGGAGUUUUGAAAAGUCUAGUAAUUCAGUCAGGUUAUGGCAGUCUUUAAGAAUGAGACACUUCAACAUCUUAGGCAACUUCUUAGGCAACUGUUACUCAAAAAGUGAAAACAAUAAUAAAAAUAUAAAUAAAUAAAAGAGAGAAUGCAUGCCGAUGACCGAUGUUGAUAUUUACAAGGACAUUGAUAAUUAUAUCGUACCAGGUCUGAAUCAUCCCAAACUCGUACAAGCUUGCUAUUUCUCAGGUCAAUAAAAACUAGGUUUCGUUGAUCAAAAUCUGCUGGUAUGGCUUCAAGGGGAAAUCCAUCCCAAACCAACAAUCUUAACUCCUUGGAAAGAUGUUUGUAGCUUCCAGUCAGCUUUACAAUUUCCAGCCGGAUAAAUUUCAGACGCCGCAUCUUCUUAAACGCUUCUGUACUGAAGCUUUCCUCGUCAUCAGAAUCUUCUGGCAACCUUAAGUUUAGUCCUUCAACUGCUUCUGUUCCCUGUUAGAGAUAUAAAAAAAAAAAAUGAUAAUAUUCACACGAAGCAGAGCCGUGAAUUGGAUGAAUGAGCUACUAGAAUGGUAGGGCAUACAACAUAAUUAAUUAUGUAUUUUCUCUUUCAAUUUACAGUGGAUGAAAGCCUUUUCUUCUUUUUCUUCAAAUAUAGGCAUACAUUAUAUAUAUGCGGAUAUGUGUAUACACUUCUCUUUCUUUACAUGUACUUAACAUAACAUCUUUUUAUUGCAAAAGUACUUACUGAUUCGUUCAUGAGCACGUUUUUUGCAUCUUCACUAUGCCACAAUCGGCUACGUUUUCCCAAUUCCACAAGAGAUUCUGCCCGCACAAUUUCUCUUCCCAUAUCUCGAAUCAAAUCAUGCAUCCUCAAGUAUCCCUCUUCAUCAAUAUAUAAGAGACAUCGUUCGUAAAGUGUGAUAAUUUCUGCUUCUACAGAAAAACUACUACAACCAUCCAAUAUUGCCGUGACAAAAAUUUUACUCCAUCCAAUAAAGAAACAAGAUAUGUCAAGGAAUACACCCUUCACAUGAUCAUCACGUAGCCCAUCGUAACUUAAUUUAAGCGUUUCAUGAAUUUUUCCAUCUGGAAUAUUUCUCAAUUUAUCCAAUGUACUUUUCCAUAUGCUUUUACUCUUUUUUGUAGCCAACAACUUCAAGAGCUAGGGGCAAUCCUCCACAAUAAUCAAUAACAUCUCUUGCGAGCUCAAUAUAUUCUUUAUCUGGACAAUCAUUUCCAAAGGCAUGCCAACUAAGAAGCUUAAGAGCUUCGUCAUCAGUCAUUCCUUGUGCUUUAUAUCUUUUAUCCACCUUUUGUAUAUUCAGCACUUGUUCAUCUCUUGUCGUUAUAAUAACUCUGCUCCCUGGACCAAACGAGUCAUGUGCUAUUGCCAAUUUAUCUAAUUGGUCCGCAUCAUCUAUGUCAUCAACCACGACAAGUACCUUCAUGCUUCCAAGUCUUUUCUCUAUCUCCUUGGUUCCUUCGGCAACACUGCUUACCUUAAUGUCAAGCCGUUUCAAAAUAUCUCGAAGAAGUUGUUCUUGGAGACUAACCAUAUUUUUCUUGUUACUCCUCACCUCUUCAAGGUAACAUUGACUGCUGAAACUGUGACUAUAUUUGCUACAAAUCUCUUUGGCAAACGUUGUUUUACCUAUACCGCCUGUACCCCAAAUUCCAAUUAUUUGAACAUCAGGUGAACCUCCAACGUCUAAGUAUUUAGUGUUGAAUUCUUUCACGCGAAGAGCUAUUCCAACUGAGUGCUUGGCAUUUUUGAAGUCUCUGGGGGUCAAUCGUCCCUUGAUGUCCCCAAUAAUUUUCUCAAUAAACACUCCUUCGCGCCUACAAGUAGAAAUUCCAAAUUACAAGAGCCAUACUAAUGCCUUAUUCAUCAUGACUAUAUAUUUACAUAUUGAAACAGGUUUGAAUAAAUUGUGAUUUACUGAGCUCAAUUCAACAACGUAUUUAAUCUUCAAUUAUAAUGUGAAUAGAUUAGAUCAUUGGUCAUUGGACUAUUACACCAUUGUAGCUUUCAGUUAUAUAAUUAAGAAUCCAUUACAAUUGGUAUUUUAAUUUGAUAAAGUGUGGAGCAUUUGUUCUUCACACACCCAUAAAAAACGAAGCAUUGUACCCUGCAUUUCACUUCCUUAGUUUUGACGGCAAUUCAUAUGCAAAUGCUCUACCAUUUAUAAAAUUCAUAUACCAAUUCUAAUAAAUUUUUAUGCAGUGACCAAAAUUACAAUUCUAUCAUAGUUCAGGGACCAAUGAUCCAAUUUUUCUUCUAACAUAUAAAAUCAUAUUCAAUGCCUUAAUUAUAAUUUCUUAAUUUUGGUUAAUUAGUGAAAUAACUCCGCCUGUGUAAGUUUAUCUUACAUUGCCGGUCCCAAGCCCGGGUAAAGGAGGAGGGGGGAGGGCGUCAGGUAGUCGACAGUCGGCACUACACAGUUACGUCGAAUCCUUAUGAAAAUGAAUCCAUAACGAAAUCGCGCUAAAGCUAGGGCGUCACCCGUAAGUGGCGCGCUGUGUGGCCCGAGCACAGUGAUAAGUGAGCAAGGGUCGCUGUAUCUCCAUAGGCACCCGGAUGCAGUGUUAAAUGAGCAAGGGGGCCAUAGAAACUUCUUUUUGAACGACUCCACUCAAAGUUGUUUAGGAGCAUAUGCUCCUAUCAACUUUACACGGGACACACAAAAGAAGUACUUUGAUUCCAUUGGACGGGGGAGGGUGAAGAAGCUAGGACAGAAGGGUAGAGUUCAAGAGAGUAGAAUGCGUUUAGGAACGUGGAAUAUAGGAACCUUAACGGGAAAAUCUAUGGAAGUAGUGGAAGUUAUGGUAAGGAGAAGGAUAAAUAUUAUGUGCCUAUAAGAAACUAAGUGGGUUGGUCUUAAGGCAAAGGAUCUAGAAAACUCAGGGUUUAAACUUUGGUACUCGGGCACAAAUAGAACGAGAAACGGUGUUGGCAUCAUCGUGGACAAGACCUUGACACAAGAUGUUGUAGAUGUCAAGAGGGUAGGAGAUAGAAUUAUGGCAAUCAAGAUUGUAAUAGGACAAGAACUCAUCAAUGUGAUUAGUGCGUACGCACCUCAAGUAGGGUUGGAUGCGAGUUCGAAGGAGAAAUUUUGGGAAGACCUUGGAGACUUGGUGCAAGGAAUUGCCCAGACAGAGAAGUUAUUUAUAGGAGGAGAUUUAAAUGGACACGUGGGCAGGGAGACAGGCAACUAUGGAGGUUUUCAUGGUGGCCAUGGUUUUGGGGAGAGAAACGAGGAUGGGAAAGCUAUCUUGGAUUUUGCAAUGGCAUAUGAUCUCUUCUUAGCCAACACCUUCUUUAAGAAAAGAGAAGAACAUGUGAUCACCUACAAGAGUGGGUUGUCAAAAACACAAAUAGAUUUUCUUCUAAUUUGGAAAGGGGAUCGUAUAACUUGUAAGGAUUGCAAAGUUAUACCGGGAGAGAGCUUGGCUAAUCAACAUCGCUUGUUGGUGAUAGAUGUACAUAUCAAAAGAGUGAGAAAAAAGAACAAGACUUGGAAGUGCCCAAGGACUAGAUGGUGAAAUCUAAAAGGAGAAAAACAAGUCAUUUUCAAAGAGAAAGUAAUCACCCAGUGUGGGUGGGAUAGAGAGGGGGAAGUUAGCCAAAGGUGGGAUUCCAUGGCUAGUUGUAUACGAAAAGUAGCAAAAGAGGUAUUAGGAGAGUCCAAGGGCUUUGCUCCACACCAAAAGGAAUCUUGGUGGUGGACUGAGGAGGUACAAACAAAGGUGAAGGCUAAGAAAGAAUGUUGUAAAGCCCUAUACAAGGACAUGACCGAUGAAAAUGGUGAAAGGUAUAGAAGAGCGAAGCAAGAGGCGAAGAAAGCUGUGAGAGAAGCUAAGUUAGCGGCUUAUGACGAUAUGUAUAAGCGACUAGCAAAAGAAUGAGAGUUGGAUAUUUAUAAACUAGCUAGAGCAAGGGAAAAGAAGACAAGGGACCUAAACCAAGUGAGGUGCAUCAAGGAUGAGGAUGGAAAGGUUCUUGCUACAGAGAACGCGGUCAAAGACAGAUGGAGAGGUUAUUUUCAUAAUCUUUUCAAUGAAGGACAUGAAAUGAGUACUUCUUUAGGGGAGUUGAGUAACUCAGAAGAGUGUAGAAACUACUCAUUUUAUCGUCGAAUCAGGAAGGAAGAAGUGGUUGUAGCUUUGAAGAAGAUGAAGCAUCGAAAAGCAGUGGGCCCAGACGAUAUACCGAUCGAAGUGUGGAAAGUCUUGGGAGAGACAGGUAUAGCAUGGCUCACUGACCUUUUCAAUAGGAUUUUGAAAAUGAAGAAGAUGCCAAAUGAGUGGCGAAAUAGCACUUUGGUGCCUAUCUACAAGAAUAAGGGCGACGUACAAAACUGCAUGAACUAUAGGGGUAUUAAGCUAAUGAGUCAUACAAUGAAGCUCUGGGAGAGAGUCAUUGAGCAUAGAUUGAGGCAAGAGACACGGGUUUCGGACAACCAAUUCGGGUUCAUGCCAGGGCGCUCAACCAUGGAGGCAAUCUAUCUCUUACGAAUAUUGAUGGAAAGAUAUAGAGAUGGGAAAAAUGAUUUACAUAUGGUCUUUAUAGAUUUGGAAAAAGCGUAUGAUAGGGUCCCAAGAGACAUUCUUUGGAGGAUUUUAGAGAAGAAAGGAGUACGAGUAGCAUAUAUCCAAGCUAUAAAGGAUAUGUAUGAAGGAGCAAAGACUGCCGUAAGAACUUAUGAAGGACAAACCGAAAGCUUCCCCAUAACUGUAGGAUUACAUCAAGGCUCAUCCUUAAGUCCUUACCUUUUUGCGUUGGUAAUGGAUGAGUUAAUAGGACAUAUUCAAGAUGAUCUUCCUUGGUGUAUGCUUUUCGCAGAUGAUAUAGUGUUGAUAGAUGAAACUCAGGAAGGGGUAAAUACGAAGCUUAACCUUUGGAGAGAAGUGUUGGAAUCUAAAGGUCUUCGCCUAAGCCGAUCAAAGACAGAAUAUAUGGAAUGCAAGUUCAGUGCAAAUGGAGGCCAAAAUGAGUUAGGGGUGAGGAUCGGAGAUCAGGAAAUGCCAAAGAGCGAUCGUUUUUUCUACUUAGGAUCUAUCUUGCAAAAGAACGGAGAAUUAGAUGGAGAUCUCAACCAUAGAAUACAAGCUGGAUGGAUGAAGUGGAAGAGUGCAUCCGGCGUGUUGUGUGACCGCCGUAUGCCACUGAAGCUCAAGGGAAAAUUUUAUAGGACGACAAUAAGGCCGGCGAUGCUGUAUAGCACAGAAUGUUGGGCGGUGAAGCAUCAACACGUACAUAAAAUGGGUGUAGCGGAGAUGAGGAUGCUUCGUUGGAUGUGUGGGCACACGAGAAAGGAUAAGAUUAUGAAUAAGGAUAUCCGAGGUAAAGUAGGAGUAGCCGAAAUUGUAGAAAAGUUGAGAGAAAAUCGGUUACGGUGGUUUGGACAUGUGCAAAGAAGGCCUACUGACGCUCCGGUUAGAAGAUGGGACUACGGGACAGAGGUUCAAGGCCGAAGGGGUAGAGGAAGACCUAGGAAAACUUUGGAAGAGACUCUAAGAAAAGACUUAGAGUAUUUGGAUUUAACAGAUGACAUGACACAGGACCGAGCACAAUGGCGUUCUAAGAUUCAUAUAGCCGACCCCACUCAGUGAAGAAGGCUUUGGUGUCUUUAACACAAUACGUUGGAAAUGAAGCAAAGCUUAUGUAUUGAUAUCUCCGAUAAGUUACAAAUAUGUACAUAUACAUGAGUCAAAAUAAACAAACAAGAGGGAGCCUUCACAAAGGUUGCUUAGGAGAAGUCUCAGCAGUCGGUAGAGCCCCAGAAAGAGAAGGCACCGGAGGGGGAUCAUUCGGAGCCUCAGUACUGGACAGAACCCUAGAAGGAAGAGGCAUCGGAGGUUGAUCAUUUGGAGCUUCAUUAUGCAGUACAGCCCCAGAAGACGAAGGCAAUAAAUGCCUUUGGAACAAACCCACAAACCGCUGAUGAUCAAGUAAAACUUGACCAUCAGAUUCCUUCAUCUGGUCAAGCUUCCUCUUCAUGUUUAUAACAUAGUUAUGUGCGAGCCGGUGCAACUGUUUAUUCUCAUGCUUGAGCCCGCUAAUCUCCUGUUUGAGACUCAUCACUUCAGCCGCCAAUGAUUCAACUUGGCGGGUUCGAGCAAAUAGGCGUUGGGCCAUAUUAGACACAGAACCUGCACACUGAACACUCAGAGCCAGAGAAUCCUUAACAACCAAUUCAACAGACCGUUUGGAAAGUAGUCUGUUAUCUUUGGGAGUGAGAAGGUUCCUGGCCACCACCGCAGCGGUCAUAUCAUUCUUCAUCACAGAAUCCCCAACGGUAAGAGGACCAGUAGGGGAUAAGAAGGAUGGGCGCCAUAUGUUGUCUGGAGAAGGUGUGGCUGCCUCUUCAACAAGGUUCAAGUCAAAACGACGGUCGGAGGGGCCAGACAUUUUCAAAGGUGUUGAAGAGAGAAAAGGUCAGACAAAUCAAGAUCUUAGAAGUGCAAGAAGGGAGCUUCUACUGGUGAAGAUUCAGGUGUGCUUUGAAACUUAAUGCCAGCCUCUAUAAAAAUCUGCACUUGACGGAGCUUCAGAAAUCAAAGAGGCAUCUGCCCAGAAAUCGAAGAGGCGUUUGCUUUCUCAAAAGUUGGGCUGCUCAGAGACCACGAGGGCCGAUUUCAGAAAUCGAAGAGGCGUUUGCUUUCUCAAAAGCUGGGCUGCUCAAAGACCACGAAGGCUGAUCUCAGAAAUCGAAGAGGCGCUUGCUUUCUCAAAAGAUGGGCUGCUCAGAGACCACAAGGGCCGAUCUCAGAAAUCGAAGAGGCACCUGUUUUUUUUUUUUUCAGCCUUGUCAGCAUCUGUCACAUGCACACUCAGCUUUGCUGAAAUUACGGGCAUUCUGGUGAAGUAGAAAGCACGUGAAUCUUAUUGUUCAAUCAUCCACUUUUCACACGCACCAUCAGCUCAUGGGUACCACAGAUAACUUUGCCAAAGAUCUCUGACAAAGUUUAGACACGUGAAGCUUGCAGCUCCCACUACAUCGCUAUGACCAAGAAGGGUAAAAUAAUAGCAAAGAAACAACACUAACAAAGUUUAGACACAGAAAUUUUGAAGGUCUAGCUAUCAUAUUAUUACCCACAAGGGUAAAGGAACAACAUCACGGCUGGAUAAUUGGAAAGUCCCUGUGUGUCAACCUCUGUGCUCCAUGGCAAGGUAGACUAGCAAACAUGCCCUACCUUUACUCACAUUCGAGAAAACACUCCAAACAAGAUUGCUUGCUCCAAAAUCGAAGAGGCACCGUCCUCCGAAUCUUGAGAGCCAGACUCCCAACAUGAUUACUUUCUCAAAAAUCGAAGAGACACCGCUCUCCGAAUCUCGAGAGCCAGACUCCCAGCAGGAUUGCUCUCUCAAAAAUCGAAGAGGCACCGUUCUCCGAAUCUCGAGAGACAGAUCCCCGACAGGAUUGCUUGUUCGAAAACUGAAGAGGCAUCACUUUCUCAACUUCGAGAGCCAGAUCUCCUUGGAUAAAGCUUGUCUGUAAUCUUCACACGCAACAUCAGCUUUCCAGAUACCACAGACCACUUUUUCAAAGUGCUCUGACACACGUGAAGCUGGCAGCUCCCACUACCGUGCUAUGACCAAGCAGGGUAAAGGAAUAGCAUUACUACUUGUUGUUAGGGAGACUCCUAUAUAUGUCGACCUCCAUCUUCAACGGACAGGCAGACCUGCAAAAAUGCUCAACCAUUCCUCAUAUCUGAGAGGGCACUCCCAACGAAGCCUCUCGAAAUACUCAGCUUUCUUUCCCCCCCCCCCCCCGAUAAUACCUUUGCAAACAAGCUACACCAGAGCAAGAAUAUCUCAUAUCAUCAGGGUUAAAAGCAAGAGUAUCCUAUAUCAUGCUAUUUCCCUGUCUUUUCCUUUGGCCUUGUUCUUACCUGCAAGACAAGGAGAACAUCUACCUAUGAGACAGAUAAGGCAAGUGAAGACGAUACCACACUUCGGUACUUAGAAGUUUCGUGAUUACGAUAUCAUUCUCCCACAAUAUUUCCUUAUGUCAUUUGUACUAAAUCAUUCAUUUGUACCCACUAAAGGAGAGCUUGAACCUAUGUACUUGUGUAAACCCUUCACAAUUAAUGCGAACUCAUCUACUCCAUAGACGUAGCCAAUCUGGGUAAACCACGUACAUCUUAUGUUUGCUUUCCUGUCUCUAUCCAUUUACAUACUUAUCCACCAUAAUGACCAGAGCAAUAAGUUAAUACUUUCUGUUGUACCAAAGUCCUCACUGAUUUUUUGCAUCAACAAGCCUUAAGUCCUUACCCUUUUGCGUCGCAAAUGAUAUAAGGUUGAUAGAUGAAACUCAUGAGGGGUAAAUGCGAAGCUUAACCUUUGGAGAGAAGUGGUGGAAUCUAAAGGUCUUCGCCUAAGCCGAUCAAAGACAGCAUAUAUGGAGUGCAAGUUCAGUGCAAAUGGAGACCAAAAUGAGUUAGGGGCGAGGAUCGGAGAUCAGGUAAUACCAAAGAGCGACCGUUUUCGCUACCUAGGAUCUAUCUUGCAAAAGAACGGAGAAUUAGAUGGAGAUCUCAAUCAUAGAAUACAAGCUGGAUGGAGAGGUGGUCUGUGAAGGUAGUGCGUGUCGUCACCUCUAAAGCUCAAAAACACCUCGUUCUUCCAGCGGUUUGAGCGGCACGGGCAAGACGAAGAGGCUGCGAUGGCGGUUCCAUGGACAGAGCUGAUGGUAUCUAUCGAUAAUUGGUACUAGCGUUGGGAGACUAGAGGGAGUGCAGCAGGCUGUGCGGCUUGGCUUUCAGAUAGCCAAAGCUCAGUCAAAUGUCAUCGCCUAAGUAUUAUAGAGAAACAAAAUGCGUGGAGCGAUAUGAAUAUACAUGUACAUGGCAUUGCAUAAGUUUACUACAAAAUAUGGUAACACCCUAAUUUUUAUGGACAUAGUACUAUCAGUAUUUGUGACUAUCUGCAUUGCAACUAUCCAAUAUUGCCAUGACAAUAGUUAUAUCCCAUCCAAUAAAGAAAUUAGAUAUGUCAAGGAACACACCCUUCACAUGAUCGGUACUUAACCCAUCGUAGCUUAAUUUAAGCGAUUCAUGAAUUUUUUUCAUGUGAAAUAUUUUAUUCAAUGUACUUUCCCAUAUGCUUCUACUUUUUUUCGUAGCCAACAAAUGGCCAACAACUUUCUGAGCUAGGGGCAAUCCUCCACAAUAAAGAACAACAUCUUCUGUGAUGUUGAGGUCGUUGCUGUCAACGAUCCCUUCAUCACCACCCGACUACAUGGUAAGUAAUUUACAUGGGUUUCCGCCUGUGACUGAAAACAGGUUCUCAGCUGAGUAGAUAGAAGUAUGCAGGGUUGCCAGGGCAUACAAUUCAUUAGUUGUGGGAUAUGUAUAUAUCUCGUCACGUCCCAUGCAGACACAUACCAACAUUUCAGGAUCGGGUGGAUUGAGUCUUAAAAUUGAAAAUUAGUUUAUAUGACAAAUUGAAAAAAAAAAGAAAAAAAAAAGUAAGCAAGCUCAUAUGACAUUUAAAAAAAAAAAUUCUUGUUCUCAAUUGUAGAACAUAGCUCUAACCACUUAUUGCACAAACACAUAAACCAUGACGAUGAUACGUUUGUUAGUUCUCAGUUUUUAUUUUGGACUUGGAAGUUGUGGGCACGGUGUUGCUGUUAGGAACGGAUUCAACUCUGAUGUACCUCUAACUAAUGCAUUGGUGACCGGUUCUGUCAAAACCGCUGCCAGCUUGUUCCGGUUGCAGAGAAAAAUGUGAUUUCUUGUUGCUCCAUGAUUGCUCUUUCACACUUAACAGGCAAGAACACUUACAUCUAUGAUAGGUGAAGAGAGAAAUUUCCUUGAAAUGAGGUGGUUUAUAGAACACUCAAGGCUCAAGCCAACCCCUAAGAUAUGUCUCUAAUUAAUGAUGUGUAAGACAUACUUACAUGUAAAUUUCUCUAAUGUCACUGAUCAAAUUGGAAAUUAUUAAUUUAUAUUUGUUAAGAUGAUAAGUUACUUAAAAAAAAUAAAAAAAGGACUCGUGACAUUGCUUCUCUAGAAAGUGCUUAAGCUAGAAGUGCUUCUAUUAUAACCACAUUGAAAUUUUUAUUAGAAACUCAAGUACAUUCUAAAAAACCACUUAAGGAUGCUUUUCGAAAAUAAAAAAAAGGCGUAUGCUUCUCCAUGAACCGCUUCUUUGAGCCAUAUGAACAAUUUAAACAAACCCCUAACUAGCGAGCAUGGCCUAGCCCAACCCCCAAUAUUACUCUUAGAAGCAACGAAAUUGAGAUGUAAAAACAUGUUUUCAUGGUCUUUAUAGAGGAAAAAGAUAGGGUAAAAUGACCUAAAUGGGUAAGAUUUAUAAACAAGUUGAUUCAUGCUUCAUAAUUGCAUCAGUUCCUUUGCAGUUUGUAGUAAAUGUCUACGUACCUUCCUUACAAGUCUCUUUACUGCGCUUUCCUUCAAUUCACUGUUGUUUUGUCAUCGUCAAAGCUUUCAAUAUUAAGAUCAAACCUUAAUAUUUUGCAGACCUCAUCAGAUGAGUGGCCUCUUUAACUCUGUACCAUCGUCAGUGUCGUCAUCAAACUCAUAUGGUAUAAUCUGAUAGUCUUCCUCAUCAGUAUCAUCAUCUCACGCUGUCACGCCCCGAUCCCCACAUACGUCCAGGAUCGACACUUGACGUCAUCAAAUAACCACAUAUCUAACAUACCCCGCCUCCAAGAUAUGUACAAAGCACAACUCGAGAAUCGAAUCGCAUAGAAGUAUUUCGUAUACUUUAUGGCUGCAUCUAACCUCUUCGUUAGACUGCCUACAUACCCUCAUUAGGGAUCAAGCCAUUCGUAGUUCGUCAUUCAUUACACCUCGACAUUUAUCACAAUACGUUCAAAUCGAAAAGCAUAGCAUUCCUCAAUCAAUUAUUAGAACUUAACAAGCAUGAAUUACUAGAUUCAUGGUUACAUAACAAAUCCACAUGACAUUCAAGGUUUCCAUUCCAUCCAUCAUAUAAAUCACUAUGUUUUCAACGUGAUAUCUCCAUCCACAACAUGUAACUUAUCCAAUAACCAACGAAGCACAAUAUUAUUCUUAAGCCACAUUGAUCACUAAAUAAUCAUAAUAAUAACAAUCAUAUUCAACAUCAUUCCACAAUUCCCGUCAAUUAAUCCCUUCAUGAAUCAAGGAUGCAUGAUCUUAGCAUUUAACUACGUUAAUCAAUCAAUGAGAUAACAUACCAUUUCACCAAUUCAAUUAGAGAACUCUAUAUAAUUCCCUACUUGGGUUAUGAGUAAUAACAUGGUAAUUCUAAUUUAUAUUCACAAGGUCUAUGGAUAAUUCCCAUUUGCUCGAAUCUAGGGUUCUAGACUAACCUUUUGGAACGUGCAAGAGUAAGGAUUUCGGACCACUCAACGGAAUUCAACCACAUCGGGUUCCAGACCACUCAACGGAACCAAAAUAUCAAUCGGUUUCUCGUAAUCUAUCCAGACCUGUUGCAUGUAAAAUCAGUGCCUACAUCAUGGAAAUGGUGCAUUGGGUAAUUCAGAACUUGGAUAAGUUGUGAAACUCAGGUGAACGACAAUAAUACAAAGUGUGAUAAUAGUGAUAAAACCAACCAUCAAUCACAGUUUAUAAACUUUGAAUAUGAAUCAUUCAUAAGAAAUUAAUACCAAACCUUCGCAAACUCUGAAGGAGUCACCCAAACAUCCAACGGUUCGUCUGAAACAAUCACAACAUCUCAUAACCAUAUUCUCAUACAACACCAUGAAAAGUAGGGUUAGAGCGACAUAGUUCGGCCGAAGCCUAUACCUUUGAAGCUAUCUCAAUCCAAACUCAAUGAAACCCAAGGUGAAUACAAUUCCGGAACUUCACUCAACGGAAUCGCGGAGUAGAAGGGAUUCUGGACCAUCUCUCAUGGAAUCCAAGUGGAUACGAUUCCGGAACAUCACUCAACGGAAUCGCGGAAGGCCAACAACCAUAAUGUACAACGGCUCAAAGAAAUGAGACAAGCACAAGCUACUAAAUUUACAAAAGCUUAACCAAGGGAAAUAAGGCACAUAUGCUAAAUUUAAAACGAAUCAACGAAGAGGGAAAAGAAACAAUAUCGAAGCAACAUAUCCCCAAUCACAACGGGUUCACAGUCCACCACUAGUCUUCACAUUUCAUCACAUCAAGCCAACCAUACAAAGCAAACCAUGUUUCUAAUAUGCACGUCAAAUCCCACAUCAUAAACUAUAACGAUGGCACUUUAUAGAAAACAUAAUCAUAAAACCGUCUCAUACCCUCUCAGGAUAAUAAUUAUGAAAAUAGAGUAAUCACCUGUAACAUAUAUUAAAGUCACUCACCCUUUUUUUUUUAUGUACAUAUACAUGAGUCAAAAUAAACACACAAGAGGGAGCCUUCACAAAGGUUGCUUAGGAGAAGUCUCAGCAGUCGGUAGAGCCCCAGAAAGAGAAGGCACCGGAGGGGGAUCAUUUGGAGCCUCAGUACUGGACAGAACCCUAGAAGGAGGAGGCAUCAGAGGUUGAUCAUUUGGAGCUUCAUUACGCGGUACAGCCCCAGAUGACGAAGGCAAUAAAUGCCUUUGGAACAAACCCACAAAUCUCUGAUGAUCAAGUAAAACCUGACCAUCAGUUUCCUUCAUCUGGUCAAGCUUCCUCUUCAUGUUUGUAGCAUAGUCAUGUGCGAGCCGGUGCAACUGUUUAUUCUCCUGUUUGAGACCUCUAAUCUCCUGUUUGAGACUCAUCACUUCAGCCGCCAAUGAUUCAACUUGGCGGGUUCGAGCAAAUAGGCGUUGGGCCAUAUUAGACACAGAACCUGCACACUGAACACUGAGAGCCAGCGAAUCCUUAACAGCUAACUCAUCAGACCGUUUGGAAAGUAGUCUGUUAUCUUUGGGAGUGAGAAGGUUCCUGGCCACCACCGCAGCGGUCAUAUCAUUCUUCAUCACGGAAUCCCCAACGGUAAGAGGACCAGUAAGGGAGACGAAGGAUGGGCGCCAUAUGUUGUCUGGAGAAGGCGGGGCUGCCUCUUCAACAAGGUUCAAGUCAAAACGACGGUCGGAGGGGCCAGACAUUUUCAAAGGUGUUGAAGAGAGAAGAGGUCGGACAAAUCAAGAUCUUAGAAGUGCAAGAAUGAAGCUUCUACUGGUGGAGAUUCAAGUGUGCUUUGGAACGUAAUGCCAGCCCCUAUAAAAAUCUGCACUCGACGGAGCUUCAGAAAUCGAAGAGGCGCCUGCUCAGAAAUCGAAGAGGCGUUUGCUUUCUCAAAAGCUGGGCUGCUUAGAGAUCACGAGGGUUGAUCUCAGAAAUCGAAGAGGCGUUUGCUUUCUCAAAAGUUGGGCUGCUCAAAGACCACGAAGGCUAAUCUCAGAAAUCGAAGAGGCGCUCGCUUUCUCAAAAGCUGGGCUCCCCAGAGACCACGAGGGCCGAUCUCAGAAAUCGAAGAGGCACCUACUUUUCCAGCCUUGUCAGCACCUGUCACACGCACACUCAGCUUUGCGGAAAUUAUGGGCAUUCUGUCGAAGACUUCUGGGGAAGUAGAAAACACAUGAAUCUUACUGUUCAAUCACCCACUUCCCACACGCAACAAUAGCUCAUGGGUACCACAGAAAACUUUGCCAAAGUUCUCUGCCAAAGUUGAGCACGUGAAGCUUGCAGGUCCCCACUACAUCGCUCUGACCAAGAAGGGUAAAAGAAUAGCAAAGAAAUAGCACUAACAAAGUUUAGACCUAUAAAUUUUGAAGGUCUAGCUACCAUAUUAUUACCCACAAGGGUAAAGGAACAGUACCACUGCUGGAUAAUUGGAAAGUCCCUGUGUGUCAACCUCUGUGCUUCGUGGCAAGGUAGACUAGCAAAACAUGCCCAACCUUUACUCACAUUCGAGAAAACACUCCCAAUAAGAUUGCUUGCUCCAAAAGCCAGACUCCCAACAUGACUACUUUCUUAAAAAUCGAAGAGAGGGUAAAGGAACAGUACCAUUGCUGGAUAAUUGGAAAGUCCCUGUGUGUCAACCUCUGUGCUUCGUGGCAAGGUAGACUAGCAAACAUGCCCAACCUUUACUCACAUUCGAGAAAACACUCCCAACAAGAUUGCUUGCUCCAAAAUCGAAGAGGCACCGCCCUCCGAAUCUCGAGAGCCAGACUCCCAACAUGAUUACUUUCUCAAAAAUCGAAGAGACACUGCUCCCCGAAUCUUCGAGAGCCAGACCCCCAGCAUGAUUGCUUUCUCAAAAAUCGACGAGGCAUCGUUCUUCGAAUCAAUCGAAAAGGCGCUCGCUUUCUCAAAAGCUGGGCUGCUCAGAGACCACGAGGCUCGAUCUCAGAAAUCGAAGAGGCACCUACUUUUCUAGCCUUGUCAGCACCUGUCACACGCACACUCAGCUUUGCAGAAAUUAUGGGCAUUCUGUCGAAGACUUCUGGUGAAGUAGAAAGCACAUGAAUCUUACUGUUCAAUCACCCACUUCCCACACGCAACAAUAGCUCAUGGGUACCACAGAUAACUUUGCCAAAGUUCUCUGCCAAAGUUGAGCACGUGAAGCUUGCAGCUCCCACUAAAUCGCUCUGACCAAGAAAGGUAAAAGAAUAGCAAAGAAACAGCACUAACAAAGUUUAGACACAUAAAUUUUGAAGGUCUAGCUACCAUAUUAUUACCCACAAGGGUAAAGGAACAGUACCACUGCUGGAUAAUUGGAAAGUCCCUGUGUGUCAACCUCUGUGCUUCGUGGCAAGGUAGACUAGCAAACAUGCCCAACCUUUACUCACAUUCGAGAAAAACACUCCCAACAAGAUUGCUUGCUCCAAAAUCGAAGAGGCACCGUCCUCCGAAUCUCGAGAGCCAGACUCCCAACAUGACUACUUUCUCAAAAUCGAAGAGAGGGUAAAGGAACAGUACCAUUGCUGGAUAAUUGGAAAGUCCCUGUGUGUCAACCUUUGUGCUUCGUGGCAAGGUAGACUAGCAAACAUGCCCAACCUUUACUCACAUUCGAGACAACACUCCCAAUAAGAUUGCUUGCUCCAAAAUCGAAGAGGCACCGCCCUUCGAAUCUCGAGAGCCAGACUCCCAACAUGAUUACUUCCUCAAAAAUCGAAGAGACACUGCUCUCCGAAUCUCGAGAGCCAGACCCCCAGCAUGAUUGCUUUCUCAAAAAUCGAAGAGGCAUCGUUCUCCGAAUCUCGAGAGCCAGAUACCACAGACCACUUUUUCAAAGUGCUCUGACAGAGUUAAAACAUGUGAAACUGGCAGCUCCCACUACCGUGAUAUGACCAAGCAGGGUAAAGGAAUAGCAUUACUACUUGUUAGGGAGACUCCUAUAUAUGUCGACCUCCAUCCCCAACGAACAGGCAGACCUGCAAAAAUGCUCAACCCUUCAUCAUAUAUGAGAGGGCACUCCCAACGAAACCUUUCGAAAUAUUCAGCUUUCUUUCCCCCCGAUAAUACCUCUGCAAACAAGCUAUACUAGAGCAAGAAUAUCUCAUAUCAUCAGGGUUAAAAGCAAGAGUAUCCCAUAUCAUGCUUUUUCCCUGUCUUUUCCUUUGGCCUUGUUUUUACCUGCAAGACAAGGAGAAAGAGAGCAAUCAGUCAGCACUUGGAAUCAAGCUUCCAGCCAGGAACUGACUGCCUGGAACCGCUUACCUGAUUACUUACCUGGCAUUGCUCUCGAGUACUCAUCUUCAACAUCUUAUGUUUCCAGGGAAGAUUCCGCAUCUGCUUGAGGAACAGAUAGGGCAAGUGCGAAGGAUACAAGGAAGCAUGUGGAGACAAGCGUAACAGCACACGUGCCGAUACAUCCAUUACUCUGUCAAAAGCAAAAGUAUCCCAUAUCAGCAGGGUGGAACGUACUCUAGAUUUGAUGGACUUGUUUUGACCCUCAAAUUCUUCAGUCGGCCUUAUACUCUGGAGGAAACCAGAAAACCCUCCAGCUCAGUUCAAGAAUAAGCCUGUGGAAAGUUACUUCUUCAAAAGCAAAAGUAUCUCAUAUCAUCUCUUCUCAUUUUUCUUCUCUUUAUCCUUCAUGCUGCUGAAAGAUGGGGAGAAGGUGAACAAUCAGUUGGAGCUUUGAUUGCUUACCUUGUCUGUCACCUCUUUCAGCAGACCCCCUAGCUCGGCGACUUGGGGGACUCCUACUACAUGGUUUGUAUCGCGCUUGACCAAGCCUGAAACUACAAGUAAGCUUCAAGUGAAAUUGAUACAUUACCUUGUGCAUCUCCACCAGUUAAAGAUACCACCCCUGGAUGGAGGAAGAGUACUUCCAGAGAAGAUGCCACAUCUACCUAUGAGACAGAUAAGGCAAGUCAAGACGACACCACACUCCGAUACUUAGAAGUUUCGUGAUUACGAGAUCAUUCUCCCACAAUAUUUCCUAAUGUCAUUUGUACUAAAUCAUUCACUUGUACUCACUAAAGGAGAGCUUGAACCUAUGUACUUGUGUAAACCCUUCACAAUUAAUGAGAACUUUUCUAUUCCGUGGACGUAGCCAAUCUGGGUGAACCACGUACAUCUUGUGUUUGCUUUCCUAUCUCUAUCCAUUUAUAUACUUAUCCACACUAAUGACCGGAGCAAUCUAGCGAAGAUCACAAAAAGCGACCGUUUUCGCUACCUAGGAUCUAUCUUGCAAGAGAACGGAGAAUUAGAUGGAGAUCUCAACCAUAGAAUACGAGCUGGAUGGAUGAAGUGUAAGAAUGCAUCCGGCGUGUUGUGUGUGACCGUCGUAGGCCACUGAAGCUCAAGGGAAAAUUUUAUAGGACGGCAAUAAGGCCAGCGAUGUUGUAUGGCACAGAAUGUUGGGCGGUGAAGCAUCAACACGUACACAAAAUGGGGUGUAGCGGAGAUGAGGAUGCUUCGUGGGAUGUGUGGGCACACGAGAAAGGAUAAGAUUGGGAAUGAGGAUAUCCGAGGUAAAGUAGGAGUAGCCGAAAUUGUAGGAAAGAUGAGAGAAAAUCGGCUCCGGUGAUUUGGACAUGUGCAAAGAAGGCCGAAUGACGCUCCGGUUCGAAGAUGUGACUACGGGACAGAGGUUCAGGGCCGAAGGGGUAGAGAAAGACCUAGGAAAUCUUUGGAAGAGACUCUAAGAAAAGACUUAGAGUACUUGGAUCUAACGGAGGAUAUGACACAAAACCGAGCGCAAUGGCGUUCUAGGAUUCAUAUAGCCGACCCCACUUAGUGGGAAAAGGCUUUGUUGUUGUUGUUGUUGAACCAUACAUAUUAUUUCUCAUCCAUGAAAUCAACAUUUUAACGUUCUAUUCCUAUGCUUGUAACCUUCAUUCUCCAUCCUUUAAUAAACCAACCCAAAGUUAAUGGUUUUUCAACUUAAAACACCACCUCUUCACUCAUGCCACUACCCCUUUUGACAUGUAUAUGCGGCAAUAUAUAUAUAUAUAUAUUAAUUAAGAGAAACUAGAUCGUUUACUAAUAACUUGAAUAUAACUACUAGUAAACAAUCUAAACUCUUAAACCCCAACUAAACACACUCAAAUAAGCACAAGAUUAACAAGGAUGUCAUUUCAACUAUAAUUCCCUUCUAGGUCUAGAUGCUUGGUAACGAAAGAAGUAUCUCAUAAAUCUAAUGUCACAUAUCGGAAAAUUCGACUUUUUCCAAAAAUUCUCAAAUUUUACAAGAAUGAAGGUCUCAACAAGUAGAGUAAAUUUUAUAUUUGUGGCCAAGUCCAAUUUGACCGGGAAGGCUCUCAAAUUGGCUCGUAUCCAUCGAAAACCCUAAGGUGGGUGUUCUUCAAUUCGGCUUCCUUGGUGUUCCAAUGCCCCUACAACUAAUUGGGUCUUGUUCUUGGGUCCAAGAGAAGUUGAUCAAGGGUGAUGUGAAUGGUGAUACUCUCCAGAAUGACAAUUCGUCGUCGAGAACCCCCGGGUUCUCCUAUGGAGUUCUACAUGAAAUAGACCUUAAAAACCCUUGAUAUUUGGUGGAGGUGGAAGGAGGAAUGUAGUUGAGCAGGUUGCAGGUGAAGGAGAUAAGAAAAUCAGUUGAGAAAUGGUAGAAAUUUGCAUGAAGUUGGCCGGAUCAAAACCAUUUUUUUUUUUGUGGUGCACGGGUUCACCAAAUGGGGGGGACUCCUUUCCCUCCUUUUCUUUCUUCACUCGCCACUCCCGUGGCUUUAUCUUUUUUUUUUUUUUUUAAGCAACACAACUUCAAACUUCCGUAAUUAUACCGUUAUAAUCCGGACUCGCAAAUGGUUUUCGCCUAUGCUUUCGUGACUUCAAGACCUAUUCGAAAACGUUACUUGUGACCUCGAAAGGUCAACGAGUAAAUAAUAAUUCCAAACUUCACUCUUCGUAACUAGAUUAAUUGAAAUCUAAUUUCAAAUAAAUUAAUAUAAAUUCUCAAAAAGUAAUAUAAAUCUCAAUAAUACAAUUACGUAGAUUAUAACAGUGAAAUCCAGAAACGGGAUUUCACACACCCUUAUGGUACGCGCUCAUAGUUCACUUUUUUUAUUUCUGAAGGUAAACAAUGUUCCCAUCCUACAGAAUUUACUCCUGUUUUCUUCACCUUAAAUUGAUGAUCAUCCUCUGUUCCAAAAAAUUCUGCAUGCACACGAACCUUGUCGCCACUUUUCAGAUUGAGCUUCCUGUUUGAAAGACUUCCCAGCCAAAGAUAAUCUUCAUGGGAGCCAGUUAUGGUGGCAUCCAUUCACCAGAUGGAAAAAUAAGUUCGCUGGGAAGGAUUAACCACAUCAAUCCAUAAAGACCCACUACACUGCGAUGGUCCAAAGAAUAAACGAUGCACACAGCCAACCCUCCUAUAUAAUCAAUACUUGGCGGCACAUCAAAUUUGACAUUUUCAUCCUCUGUCACGACAUAGGUUAACCAUUAAGGAAUAACAUUUCAAGAGCGAC